AAGACUUACUCUGUGGAAGUCUUUGUUAAAGAAAACCCCUCAUCUAGCAAAGUGACAAUACAGAGGAAUGAACUAGCCAGCCAUUGCAAGGUCUAGGCUAAAGCAUGAGUAGGAUGAAUCAGUAUGACGCCCUCAGAGAACUGUUUGUUAACGGAGAUAAAGUAGCUAACUGGGCAAAAGGAACAUUUCCUUCAAUGGGCUUCAACUACAUAUUCUAGCAAGUGGAUGCAAGAAAGACUCACCUUCCAUUCCUUUCCGGUAUUUAUGACGUCAGUUCCAACAAAGUUUUUUUUAAAAUACCAGUAACCAGUGCUUGAACCUGAAAGAUCACACUUAAACAUUAUUAAAUCCUAUUUGAGUAAGGGUCUGAGAGUUUCAAUUCCUCGAAUCUCUUGCAAAAGUCCCAAUCAGAAACCCAGCACGUGUCACCUUUCAUUUCAAGAACUUAUGGAUUCCCAGAUCUGCAGAAACAGAAUUUAGCAAAUCUUGGGCAUUUAAAAUGAAUAUAAGACACAAUUUCCUUCACACAGCAGGGGAACCAUGAGUUGGAGUCUAAACAAACUAGACCAUGACCAUCCUGCACUGUGCUAUAAUAGUUUGUUUAGGCUUUGGAAGCCUCCACCACAGAAAGACUCAAUCAGGCCUUCUCGCUCACUAAGAUUCUAAGGGCUUUUAGAGAUUUGUCCAG
rnacentral:sRNA from 1 species